GAGAAAUAUCUGCCAGAAGCACUGACCUACAAAAUCUAUUAGGCUCUCCCCACUGGUGUGAAGCUCAUUUAUGUAAUGCUGCUGGAAUAGAUGACUCUGUUCUGCUUCGGAGGUAAAAUACGGAGGUCUUGCUUUCAUAAGCAUAAGCGCAAGGAGGCGGCUGAUAACGAGGUGAUGUUUGCAAAUCAACGGCAGGUGGCUUACGGAGUUAUCUCCUGUUUUUACAUUACAGGUUUGGAGAGAUUCCUUGAGGGCAGGGACCAUUGGAGCAGGUUUACCAUCCAGGUGCCGUCAGCUGGGUUCUCCGGGCUGGCUCUUGAGCUCCAGGAGCACAUAGAAAACUCCAGGCUGAAAGCCCUGAUGGGAGGGCACUGAGGAAAAGAGAUGCUGGAAGUCACUGCUGACGCAAACUUAGUCACCCUGUUUCUGUGCUGCUAAAGCUCUCCCUGCAUAACAAGGGCAAGGGAGGGCUGCGUGUGCCGAGGGAGAGGGCUGGGCUGGAGCUCGCUCUGUCGGGUAGUGAUCCUGUGCUGGUGGGUACUAGCAAGUCGCUCUUAACGGCUGGGCAGCAAAUUAGAGCCGACUUUCUCUGCUUUGGCAGAGGCUGCAGGGAAAUCUGGAUGGCCUGAGAUGCGCAGUAGUCUCAAGGCAUGUCUGAAUCGCUUUGCUGCUGUUAUUUUCCUGCGCCAAGAUCAGAAGCAGGUACUGGAGCAGUUUGUAGGGGAAGUCCUAGGGGUCUGGUGAUUGAUGCAGAAGGGCAGCGCUGGCAGUUAAUGAGUUUGCUUUGUUGGCAGAGCCAAAGGCUCUAAAGGGGCUGGCUUUAACUUCUUGCCCUGGAUAUUUAGUCUUUGGGUAGAGGAGAAUUCGCUCUGCUUGUGCUCUAAGCCGUGUGGAUGGAAGGCAACUCCCAGUUACAAAAAACACACUGCCGUGGCAGCUCUGCACUGUGCAAGCUCUAAUAAGCCCUGCGGCUUCCCAGUUUCAAACAUCAACUGGGUUUGUGUUGUAUGUGGUGAGCUCUGAAUGGGCCUGCAGCUUGCCGAUGUCUGCCUGCAGAUGGCUGGGGGGAAAUACCUGGAAUUUCAGUAACGCUCUGAGACAAUAAGUUAAGGAGCUGGUGUGUCAGCAUUUACCAACUUCUUCAUCGAACGUUGCAAGCAAGCGUUGUCACUAGAAGAAGGGAAAAGUUGUAAGUUAACUGAGAUUGUUCAUAGCUUGUUAGUUGUAGUGUGGCAGAGAGAAACGCUAAGAACAGGGAAGUCGUUUGCAGGGCAUGCCCGGGGGGAAAUAUUUCUUCCCUCUGUUUCUAAACAGACUACGGAUUUAAUGUAAGGGCAAUCACGAUGAUCAGGCUUAUUAUAAAGUCAGACGCAUAAGCAGGUGACUGGAAGCACACCGGUAGGUGACUUCAUAGGUUUUAUUUGGUGAUCUUCUGAUUUUAAUUGUUAAGGAGAUAAUUAGUAACUUAUUCACACUGUGUUUUUUUUAAGCAUGUCCUUAAUGUGAAGCGUGGCUUGGUAUCAAAUGCUUUAACUCCUUGUCCUCUGCAAGAUCUUCUGGUGGGGGAGAUGCAAAGGCAUCUGUAUCUUCCGUCAGAGCAUAAAAGCACAAGGAGCAGGGGAAAAUAAAUGUUGUGUUGUGUGGAUCAGGCAAGAAGGGAACCAGCCCAAAAAUUUGAACCAGCCGUUGCCUAGAAUGGGUGCAUGAGAUGAGCAGAGAAGGUUUGGGGUUUCCUUCCUCAGCUGCUCCUGGGGAUUUUGGCCCUGGAGACAGUUCACUCAGGCCUUCGUGCCCUGUUGGAUGGAUGAAGUUAAAAGCACCGCAGUGCUUACCAUCUUCACUACAUGAGUUUAUGAAGAGGCUAAUAUUGUAGCCAGCCGCUUUUCAACACUUGAUGAUCGGGGAAAGGCUGCCUUAAUCCUUCUGCCACAGCACUUACUCUUACAGCUCUGCAUGCCUGGAUUUCAUUGUGGGGAAAAAGUUUCUAAUCGCCUUUGGCUUCUUUGCAAGCCCUCAUCUUUACCUUCGUGAAGAGAGACCUGCAAACUAUUUUGGGGCCAGGAGAAGGUUUGCCUGAGUGAAGUGUUUGGGAUUUGAUCACUUUUAAAACAUUUAAUUGGUGCAGUGCAUGGGUUGAGCCAUGAUCAUCUCAGAGGAUGGCAGAACUGGAAGAGGUACGGAGAAAUAGCUACUGCAUUUGUCCUAAUGAGCAUUCCUCGUGGA